GAUGAACGCUGGCGGCGUGCCUAAUACAUGCAAGUCGAGCGAACAGAUGAGGAGCUUGCUCCUCUGACGUUAGCGGCGGACGGGUGAGUAACACGUGGAUAACCUACCUAUAAGACUGGGAUAACUUCGGGAAACCGGAGCUAAUACCGGAUAAUAUAUUGAACCGCAUGGUUCAAUAGUGAAAGACGGUUUUGCUGUCACUUAUAGAUGGAUCCGCGCCGCAUUAGCUAGUUGGUAAGGUAACGGCUUACCAAGGCAACGAUGCGUAGCCGACCUGAGAGGGUGGUCGCCGACACUGGAACUGAGACGCGGUCAAGACUCCUACGGGAGGCAGCAGUAGGGAAUCUUCCGCAAUGGGCGGAAGCCUGACGGAGCAACGCCGCGUGAGUGAUGAAGGUCUUCGGAUCGUAAAACUCUGUUAUUAGGGAAGAACAAAUGUGUAAGUAACUAUGCACGUCUUGACGGUACCUAAUCAGAAAGCCACGGCUAACUACGUG
rnacentral:rRNA from 1 species